rnacentral:rRNA from 1 species
AAUAGAUACCCAGGUAGUCCACGCCGUAAACGAUGAGUGCUAAGUGUUAGGGGGUUUCCCGCCCCUUAGUGCUGCAGCUAACGCAUUAAGCACUCCGCCUGGGGAGUACGGUCGCAAGACUGAAACUCAAAGGAAUUGACGGGGGCCCGCACAAGCGGUGGAGCAUGUGGUUUAAUUCGAAGCAACGCGAAGAACCUUACCAGGUCUUGACAUCCCAUUGACCGCUAUGGAGACAUAGCUUUCCCUUCGGGGACAGUGGUGACAGGUGGUGCAUGGUUGUCGUCAGCUCGUGCCGUGAGAUGUUGGGUUAAGUCCCGCAACGAGCGCAACCCUUGUUCUUAGUUGCCAUCAUUUAGUUGGGCACGUCUAAGGAGACUGCCGGUGACAAACCGGAGGAAGGUGGGGAUGACGUCAAAUCAUCAUGCCCCUUAUGACCCUGGGCUACACACGUGCUACAAUGGACGGUACAAACGGUUGCCAACCCGCGAGGGGGAGCUAAUCCGGAUAAAACCCGUUCUCAGUUCGGAUUGUAGGCUGCAACUCGCCUAC